UACGUAGGGUGCAAGCGUUGUCCGGAAUUAUUGGGCGUAAAGAGCUCGUAGGCGGUCUGUCGCGUCGGCUGUGAAAACUCGGGGCUCAACCCCGAGCCUGCAGUCGAUACGGGCAGACUAGAGUGCUGUAGGGGAGACUGGAAUUCCUGGUGUAGCGGUGAAAUGCGCAGAUAUCUGGAGGAACACCGGUGGCGAAGGCGGCAUCCUGGACCGGUAUUGACGCUGAGGCGCGAAAGCUAGGGGAGCAAACGGG
rnacentral:rRNA from 1 species